rnacentral:rRNA from 1 species
UACAGAGGGUGCGAGCGUUGUCCGGAAUCACUGGGCGUAAAGGGCGCGUAGGUGGCGGCCCAAGUCCAUGGUGAAAGCUCGAUGCUCAACAUCGAGUCGGCCACGGAUACUGGGUUGCUCGAGCACUGUAGGGGCAGAUGGAAUUCCGGGUGUAGCGGUGGAAUGCGUAGAGAUCCGGAAGAACACCGGUGGCGAAGGCGGUCUGCUGGGCAGUUGCUGACGCUGAGACGCGAAAGCGUGGGGAGCGAACAGG